ACUCUGUGUCCUCGAUGGCUCAGUCGGAUAGAGCGUCUGCCAUGGAUGCAGGAGAUUCCGGGUUCGAGCCCCGGUCGGAGUA